rnacentral:lncRNA from 1 species
CGUCCCGCCCCGAGCCCCGCCCACCGCGGGGAAACCGCGCGCCCGGGGCAGGCCGGUGUCACCGAACCCUGGAGGAGCCCAGCUCCCUUCCGCUCUGAGAAGGAGAGAGAGAGGGAAGAGAGGGAAGGGAGGGAUAGAACUGAGAGGCUCGGCCUCAUGGUCGGCCCGCCGGCCGGCUUGAACAACGCUGAGGUUGAGAGGUUCUCUACCGCUGCUCUCAACUGACCAUAGAGGGCGGUGCCGGUGACUAGCCCCUGGCUGCAGGUGUGAGGAGGUAUUAACGCUUCAGCAUGACCCAUUAAAAUACCACAUCGCCUGUUUACUCCAUAGCUCUCCCUGUUCUCUUAGUACAGCAUGAAGACAGUGAGAGAGAACCAUAGAGGUCCCGUGGCGUUCUGAGUGUGUAUAUUGUUCUUCUCAGUGACCUGCCUAAACUUUGGGAAGCACAGAGUCCCUAACUGCAUCCUACGGGAAUUUCUGAAGAGCACCUUUCCAACAAGCUAAAACUCUUUGGGAGAAACUUAUAGAGGACCAACCAAGGUCACCAAACCACGAUGACUAAUUCUUUCAGGUGACUUAAACUUGGCCCAUUGCAGUCCUGAACCGAGCAUGCCCAGAAGCAUCUGUUUUUCACCACCACUAAGAAGACAGCCUCCAGUCACUUGGUAGAAAGAAUAUUUUGAUCAGCAACGAUUUUCUCACGGCAUCAGCUUCUGCCUACCAAACCUUCCUAGAUUCCUCUGUAGGUCCUUUCUCCCACCCAGGCCAUUAAAUGUUGGGACCCUC